rnacentral:rRNA from 1 species
UGGGGAAUCUUAGACAAUGGGGGAAACCCUGAUCUAGCCAUGCCGCGUGAGUGACGAAGGCCUUAGGGUCGUAAAGCUCUUUCGCCAGGGAUGAUAAUGACAGUACCUGGUAAAGAAACCCCGGCUAACUCCGUGCUAGCAGCCGCGGUAAUACGGAGGGGGUUAGCGUUGUUCGGAAUUACUGGGCGUAAAGCGCACGUAGGCGGACUAUUAAGUCAGGGGUGAAAUCCCGGGGCUCAACCCCGGAACUGCCUUUGAUACUGGUAGUCUUGAGUUCGAGAGAGGUGAGUGGAAUUCCGAGUGUAGAGGUGAAAUUCGUAGAUAUUCGGAAGAACACCGGUGGCGAAGGCGGCGACCUGGUCCGGUACUGACGCUGAGGGACGAAAGCGUGGGUAGCAAACCGGAUUAGAUACCCGUGUAGUCC